AACGUUACUAUCCUGGUAAAAAUGCUUAUCAAAUAUUUAUUUUUUAUAAUUCUGAUAAUUAGUACACACAGUCAUUUUGUCAGAACAAAGUAUCAGCCACACGAUCCUGAAGAAAUAUAUUUUGAGAAAAAUUUUGAAUCUGUGAAGCCUGUCUAUUUAAGGAAAGGUUUUAGAGGUGGAAUUGGUGCUAGUUAAAUAAAAAAAUGGGAAUAUCUGUCCACGGCAACGAAAGAAACUGGAUUGCAGCUUCAUAUUAAAUAGUUGAAUUAUUGUAUAGUUUCAAAUUUAUAGUUCUUAACCACAUGUUUUAAAUAUUUUUUUGUUUCAAUGAAUAGAAUAUAUUUAACCUUCUAUUGAUUACUCGCAUAAUUUUCUACGCGAAUAGACUGUAUAACGCUUGAAAGAAAGAAAAUGAUUGCAAUAUGAAAAAACAAAG